ACCAUGAGCGAAGCCGAUUCGAGCGGCGCGGCACUGCGGUGAGAUUCCUCCGCGGGGCUACGAUUGCGUCAGCGGAACGAAGCAAAAUGUUACUCGGUGUUCCAGUUUCCUCGCGGCGUGUCGCGAGCGAAAUUUCGUUCCGUGUCGGCUCGGUGUAUCGGAUGAUGGCGAUCAAAAUAAAAGAAGAACCGUGUCGCGUGGAAAUGCGUCGCGCGUGCGGAACAGCAGAGCCUCUGGCGGACGUUUGCGCAACCGUUUCGCCAACCAUGAAAAUUCCAACCGUCAGAGAAGAUCGAUAGACGAUCUAUUCGACUACGACGACCGGAGUAAUCGCUCGUACGCGUGUACUCUCCCCUUCUCUUUCUCUCUCGGAAAGUAAGAGUCCGCAGACGCCUCUUAUCAAGGUCGGCUGCUUUUUCUGUAUCAAAAAGGAACUCGCCGUUUGCGCAACACGUGGCCGCAGUUUUCUCCUGUUUGUUGACAGCGCUGACGUCGGCCCACGGGUUUCGCGAAUUCCCAGCGAACUUUGUUCUGUGCGAGCACCGGUCGUGGAAUCGGGAAAAAAUUUUCGGGAAAAAAAGUUUGGAAGAUUUUCGAAUUUAGCGAUUCGAGAAUUUUUUGUUGCCGCUGACAAAUACCUUGGUUUGACAUUUGAGAAACUUUAUUCGCCAGGGAUUUAUCGCGAACGUUGAUUCGAGUGUUAAGAUAAACCUAACCCAAACCUAACCUGAAACAACCUGAAACAACACACGGAAUUCGGAAUACUUGUCUGCCGAGUCGCCGAAAAUCUUUCUGAGAAACAUUGUUUCUAUGGAAAAGAUAGAUCUGUGCUUUCAGUCAUAUUGAAGCGUAAAGAAAAGUUUGAAAAUUGUAGAGACUCUGAUUUGUCAAAUUUCAAUAGCACCGGUUUUUGGAAACGCAGCACACAGUUUGCGGUCCCAUAGAUAUAAAUAGCUUUUACAGCAGACGUCGGUCAAGUGAUCGAUUCGAAGCUGAUCGGAUUUCAUGUCACAAAGUUUCGGGAUCACAACAAGUCUCUUACUCUAUGAUGCAAACUGAACUGAACUGGACCACUCACGCCGGGAAAGGCACUAAUUGAAUCAAUCUUAGACACGGCAGGUUACCCAGUUGCAAGGAAUCUUUUCUUGCUUUCCUGGUCGGAACGCUUCGGGGGCUAUCGAGAAUACUUUGCAGCAGCGUGUUAACUAUGUAACUAUGUAACUAUGUAACUAUGUAACUAUGUAACUAUGUAACUUUGUAACUAUGUAACUAUGUAACUUUAUAACUAUGCAACCAUGUGACUAUGCAACUAUGCAACUAUGUAAUUAUGUAACUACGCAACUAUGUAAUUGUGUAAAUACGCAACUAUGUAACCAUGUAACUAUGUCAAGAUUACAUGUUAAUUAUGUAACUAUGAAACUAUGUAAUUAUGUAACUAUGUAACUAUGUAAUAUUUCACUAUUUAGCCAUGUAACUAUAUGACUGUGUACCCAUGUAGCUAUGUAAUUCUGUAAUUAUGUAACUAUGCAAUUAUGUAACCAAGUAACUGUGUAACUAUACAGUGAUGUAGCUAUACAACUAAGUAACUAUACAACUUUGUAGCUAUAGAACCGUAUAGCUACACAACUAUAUAGCUAUGGAACCAUAUAUCUACAGAACCGUAUAACUAUACAACUAUGUAGCUAUGGAACCAUAUAGCUACAGAACCGUAUAACUAUAAACUAUGUAGCUAUGGAACCAUAUAGCUAUGCAAUUAAAUAGCCAUUCAACUAUGUAACUAGGUGACUUCAUUGUUAUGCAACCAUGUAUCUAUAGAACUACAUAGCUGUACAAUUACAUAGUUUUUCAACUAUGUAUCUAUAGAACUAAAUAGCUGCACAACUAUAUAGUUAUGCAACUACUAACUGUAUCUAUAGAACCAUAUAAUUAUACAACUAUGUAAGUAUGUCACUAGGUAAUUACAUAACCACAAUGUAAAUAUCUGAAUCUAAAACGAUCUAAUAUUUAUCAUAACUAAGCUAUGAUUAACCGAACUGGAUUUCUCUCGAUCUAUCAUUUUACGCAAUUCCAUUAAUAAUUGAUCCGAAGUAAAAAGAAAUGAACUGUCGAUUUUUAUUUCGGAUAAUCGAAGUUCUACUCUAAAUCAAAGGUGAUAAUCUAACAAUAAGUAAACAUUCUAUUAACCGAACAAUUGUUCUCACGACCCAUUCGGAUAAUCCAGGUUCUAUUAUUGUUGCGUCGUUUCGAUGGUGAUUCCUUGAACUGCGAGACGUUUUCUUCGGUAAAAGGAAGACGAAAGCAAGCCGCGGCAAGCGUGUUCAUUGACGAGAUGACACGGCACUCUCGCGUACAUACAUAUAGUUGGCGGGAUUGCGCCAUCGGCGCGCGUUCGCACACAGUCGUCGAACUCUGUACAGCCGUAUCGAAUGAGAGUAAAGAAUGCACCUACUCACGACUGGUUUACGAUUCUACGGAUCCGUGUGCUCGUGCCACUGUGACGUGACCGAGGAUGAUUAAAAAAUACCUGUUCGACGAAAGCCCGGACGAAAUUAGUGCUGAUAUCAUGGAGACACUUCGGAUCGCCAAUGCCGAGAACGAUGAGCCAGUUUCGCGACAUAGGUGGACAUUAUUAUGAGCCAUGAAGAUACGAGCGUUUUCGAAACGAAAAUGAUUUUGGUCACUAUUUCUACUCGUCUUUACAAUAUAUUAUUAAUUAUUA